AGGUGUGGCGGCGCGGGGAGGCCACACCUGCACAAUUACACAGGUGUGUGGACCAGUAAGCAGCGCCCAGGUGAGGCACUGCUGCCACUGUUACUGCUACUACUACUGCUGUUGUUGCAUCAAAGGAACGCUGGACAGCACACCCGCCUUGGCCAGAGUGACUCCCCACUGACCCGGCAGGCGAGUGGCGGGCUGACAAUGUAAACUCAGCGGCGAGAUGGCGAGUUCCCUUAAGGUGAGUGUGUCAUUUACAUCUCUAUAUAUAUUUUUUACUACACUUCCUCCCUCCUUUUGUCAUUACUUUCACGCUAACUGCUCUUCUUAUCUUGCUAUCUUCCUACCUCCCUUCCUUCUCCCUACCUGCCUAGGACUUUCUAUCUUCACCCUUUGCUGCCCACCUCCCUAAUGCAAGAGUCAACCAGUAUUCUCAGUCUUUACACACUUAUCGGAAAAAUUGUGGGACUCCUUGGCUGCUCGUGUACCCGCUCCUUCCUAUGACUUGAACUCUCCCAAGAGGUAAGUUUCAAGGCGCUUUUCCAGCAAAUUGCCUUUGAAGUGCCCUCUGGAACUGGAAUAGGGGGUUAGCUAAGGGCAGGGUGAAGUGAAGAAUUUGCUGUGGAAUUGAAGGGUGUCGAAGUAACGAAGGAAAGCAGGAGAGAUGAGGGUGAUGGGUAAACUGCCUUGCUGAUCAUAAACUAAAGUGCUUUUGUAAGUGUGUGGCAGGCAAGAGGCGAGGAAGUUUGUGUCAAGAGGUUGUUACUGAGAGGCACUACUCCCCGCCCACAGCUGACCCCACCCAGCCAAUAACUAACGUGUAUUCCCGACUGCCAGUUCUUGUUUAUCAUUGACUUUUAACGCCAUCUGAGACACAACCAAUGACCGUGACCGCAAGGAAAGUCUGAGCCCUUCUUACUUUAACACACACACACACACACACACACACACACACACACACACACACACACACACACACACACACACACACACACACACACACACACACACACACACACACACACACACACACACACACACA